UUCUUUGGAAAAGUAGCACAGCAUAUAUGGCGCGACCCCCUCGCUCAGUCUAUCCAGUAUCCAUGUAUCGUACACACGCGUCUCUAUGAAUGGGCUGAGAAACUCGAAACGGAUGGAAAAGAGACGAGUGAGACCACCAGAUGAUGACAUGACAAUGGAAAUCCCAUUCGGGAGAUCAGACGCUUGCAAUACUUCCUCGAGAGUUCGUGGAAUACAGUAGCCUGUAUCGCAAGAAGCUGGAAUUGUCCAAUUCCCUGGAAACGAAGAAAAUGUUGUUAAUCGCA